UGCUUUAGUGUCAUGGUUUCAUCCCCACAUGGGCCAUUCACUUGAGAGUUGAACUUGAUAAUCCUUUUGGGUGCCUUCCAACCUGGAAU